UAAGAUGAAAUUGAAUAAAGACAGGCACAAAGUAGUACACCACUUAGGACGGAAAAAAUCAAAUGCACAAAUACAUAAUGCGGGGUAAUUUAAUAGGCAGCUGCAUGAUAGAAAAGGAUCCCUAAGAGGGAAGGGUUAUAGUGGAUCACAAACAGAAUGAGACAAUUUGUGGUGUUGAAAAAAGGCAAAUCUCAUUCUGGGGUGCAAUAAAAGGAGCAUCAUAUGUAAGACAUAGGAAGUAAUUAUUGGUCUCUUCCAAGAUUUGGUGAGGCCUCAACUGGAGUACUGUAUCUAACACUGGGCACCAAACUUUAAGAUGCAAACAAACAGAAGCAAAUCUAGAGGAGAGCAACAGAAACAAUGGGUUUGGAAAAUGGCCUUGCUGUGGUCCCCCUACUUUAUCCGUAGUAGGUUAGGUUAUGUCUUGGGUUAUGUGUCAGGGUUGACCGUAUAGUUUUGCUAAAAGGUUACACAAUGGAUUUAUAUAAGGUAGUUUGGAUAGAAUGAUCCUGCCUUGGGCAGGGGGUUGGACUAGAUAACCUCUUGAGGUCUCUUCCAGCCCUACUUCUCUAUGGUUCUCUGAAAGGUUGAAUGUGUUCAGUCUAAAGAAAGGAAGCUUGUCCCACUUUUAACUUGGUAUAAGUUAUCCAAUGUUAAAACCUGAUUUAGAUGGUGAUCAAGCUUGUUUUCCAGGUCCAGCAGAGAAAGCACCAGAAGUAAUUGGCUUUUUUUGCAGCCUGAGAGAUGAAGUUAGAUGUUAGGAUUUUUUUUUAAUGGUAAAGGAGAGCUAAGUACUGGAAUAAGCUACCAAGACAGGUUCUAAAUCCCCUUUGUUGGGAGUUUGUUUUCUAAAUUUUUCUUAAGUGUCAGGGAUGGUGGACAGAUACUUGAUUGUGCCGUAGUAUGAACUACAUGACUCCUGAUAGUCCAUUUUAGCUCUUCAUUUCUCUGAUUUCUAUGUUUGGUAUUGUAAAUAGAGUGCAGUUCUCCAAGGUAGAAAUUUGUUAUGCUUUGAAAAGACUAUCUGCUGGAAAUCUAAUCAACUUCAAAACACAAGAGAUUUUUUUUUUAGGCAUUGUGUGUGCCUGAGUUUCUUUGCAACUUUGAUUCACAACUGCAUUUUCCCAUUGAAAGGACACUUUCAUGUUACUAUAUUAAGUACUCCUAAAAAAAGACUUUUCUUAAAAGAGAAUAUCUUGAAAGUUUGAUGUGGGCUAUCAAAAAAAGAGAUUUUUGCUUUGUAUGUUUCUCCUCCUCUUUGGUUAUUAAUUUUAGUUCUUUAAUAGGUUAAAAGACAGAUGCAGGCAAAUUGGUGCUGCCACUGGUGCUCUUGAGUUACAAUAUUCAUAGUUUUAUGAAGCAGUGAUGAUUAAGGAGGCAGGUAUACACUGCAGUAUUGGAAUGACGCUGAAAACAACUCCAGAGGAAACAAGUGAGAGAUCCAGAUGGUCUCUGAUCCUGUGUCAAACAACACAGGAAAGCAUAAAAAGUGACAAAUUGUUUGUGAGGCACAGCCAGAAAAACUCUUAACUUAAAGGUAAAAGACAUGGAAGAUGGAGCAGGAGAUUAUGUAAUCAAGAGCAGAAAUCUAGUCAGGGUUGACAGUGACAACAACACUGGAAUCUGCAGAAAGACCAAAGUGCAGGCUCUGAGGGAAGAGGAAUGACUGUUGAAGCAACAGCUGCCAUUGCCCAAUUCUGAGAUUUGAAGCAAGUGUUUCCUAUGUUCUUUAUGUCUUCUGCUAUUGACACAAUCUUGUCCACCUAUAAAAUAAUUUGGCAGAAGACAUUUUGAGAUGGGUCAGAUGAAAUAGUUGACAAAUCAAAUAGUUAAAAUAAUGUGGAACAGAACAUUCUAAACCAG